rnacentral:lncRNA from 1 species
UCAAGGCCGUAACUACCCUUGAGGCAAGUGAGGCAACUGCCUCACUAAAAUUUCGACAAUGAUUAUUUUUUUAUACAUAUAUAUAAAUAUAAUAGUCAUUCAGUGUUGUUCUGUCUCAAUCUAUUUCUAUAACUUGUCAUCAUUUCUUUUAAACUUUUCUUCCUGGAUAUAACUCAGCAUCUCAACUGGUGAUGUUUCUCGAUUACAUUAAUCUAGUAACGAUAAUCAUCAUGGAUCUCUGGUUAAAAACAGGCUCUAGCAGAAAAAGGAAAAGCGACACUGAAGGUAAAGAAGGAAUAAUUCUAGUAUAUAUUUUUUUGUGAACAGAGUCUGAGUAUUGCAUAUAACUUCAUUAGAGUAAUCCAAAAACGAUAAGUAGACUGACAAAUCAAGUACUGGGCAUCACAAGGGGCAGUCCUGUCUAUGUAUUCAUUUCUAUGUUUCACGAACUUUAAUCUUUCUCUUUACAGAUAAAUAAAAUAUAAAUAUGAAAUAUGAAACAUGCAUGGAUUACUUUUUUAUCCAUGUUUCUUUAAUCUUAAAAAUAUCCCAUAUUCCAAUUUGACAUUAUUGAGGAAUGGAAUUAAGAACCUUUAACACAGGAUUUUGUCUUUACUUAUUCGGGACUACGGAAUUUCGUUUCUUUAUAUUCAGGGUUUUGGAAUCGGACACCCCAACCCCUAACCCCUAAAUUUAUAGAUUCUGGAACGGAAAUACCUCCGACUAUUUCCAGAAAUAAUUUGAAAUUACGGACCUACAUGUAUAAACGUCAAAAACUCCAUUCCAAUUCCCCUGUACACAUAUCAUAUAUACUUACUCUAUAGAUAGAAUCAUAUACAUGUAUCUUAUCUCAUUCUAUCCCUAGUUUGUCUACUCUUUGUCAGCAUAAAAGCGAGUUUAAUAUUUUGUAAAUGCGACUGUAUGAUGGUGCUUACAGGAAAGCGUAAUUCCCUUUUGCAAACAAAACUGUUACUACCAAUGAUGCUACCGAAUUGCCGAUGGAGAAGGAAUUGGAAGAAGACAUUAAUCAUUGUGUUGAUGAUAAUGUGCUACCUUUAGAAACACAGACUGCCCUGAAACGACUGACAACUUGGAAAAGAGCAUGCCUGAGUGGCGAGAGAUUGUGCGGUUUUGCCAUGCUCCAUGUUCAUCACGAUAAGGAUAUCAGCAGACCAAAUUAUGAUUCUGAAACAAUUUGACUGAACCGGCAAUAGAUAAAUUUGGCAAACUCUACUGAAUCGAUGUUUGUUCUAUGUUCUGGCAACAGACUCAAAUUGAUAUUUGGAUGAUUAUCUUCUAUAUUAAUUUAAAUAAAGUUGUUAAAAAUUUGGUGUUUGUAAAAGUCUUAAAAUAUGAAAAAUUGUAUAAAAAGUGUCCAAAUUCAAAACAUUAUCAAACUCUCUAAAAAUGCCUACAAUGCAGGAUUUUGCACCAUUCAUUUCAUACCCUCCAAAAACAAUUUUCGCCUCGCUUCGCUCGGCUCAAUUAUUUUGCCUCACUAAAAUAAGAUGCCUAGUUACGGCCUUG